GGUAGGUUAGCUCAGUGGUUAGAGAUUAGCCUUGUGACCGAAAUGUUCCGGGUUCGAAUCCCGCCAGAGGUAGGA
rnacentral:tRNA from 1 species